UACGAAGGGGGCUAGCGUUGCUCGGAAUCACUGGGCGUAAAGCGCACGUAGGCGGAUUGCUAAGUCAGGGGUGAAAUCCUGGAGCUCAACUCCAGAACUGCCUUUGAUACUGGCGAUCUUGAGUCCGGGAGAGGUGAGUGGAACUGCGAGUGUAGAGGUGAAAUUCGUAGAUAUUCGCAAGAACACCCGUGGCGAAGGCGGUUCUCUGGGACGGUACUGACGCUGAGACGCGAAAGCGUGGGGAGCGAACAGG
rnacentral:rRNA from 1 species